UUCCAAUCCAUUAUGUAUAUAGUAUAUUUUCUAAAAUUCUAUUUUAUCAUACAUUUUGGCUAUCUGUUCAUGUUUAUAUAUAUUAUUAAAUUCACCUUUAUUUCAUGUAUUUUUAAAAUGUUUUUAACACCUUGUAUAUUAUUUGAUUUAAGAUAUCUAUUCUAUAACACUUAUUUAAAAGAUUCCAUAUAUCUCUAGUUUUUUUAAAUCCAUCAAUUCAUAUAUUAUACAUUACGUGUUUAUCAUUAUUUCAAACUAGUUGUAUACCAAAUUGUUUUUUUAUUUUCAUUUUAUUUUGUAUGUCUUGUAUUGA
rnacentral:lncRNA from 1 species